rnacentral:misc_RNA from 1 species
GAUGAAGAACGUAGCGAAAUGCGAUACUUGGUGUGAAUUGCAGAAUCCCGUGAACCAUCGAGUCUUUGAACGCAAGUUGCGCCCGAAGCCAUCAGGUUGAGGGCACGUCUGCCUGGGCGUCACAUAUCGUUGCCCAAUGCCUAUUGCAGUGCAAUAGGAAUUUCUAGGGCGAAUGAUGGCUUCCCGUGAUCGUUGUUGCCUCGCGGUUGGUUGAAAAUCGAGUCCUUGGUAGGGUGUGCCAUGGUAGAUGGUGGUCGAGUUAGAACGAUACCGAUCAUGUGCAUGCUCCCCAAAAUAUGGCCUCUAUGACCCACACGCGUCUUUUGACGCUCAUGACGAGACCUCAGGUCAGGCGGGGCUACCCGCUGAAUUUAAGCAUAUCAAAAGCGGAGGA